rnacentral:lncRNA from 10 species
AGUCCAUGAUUCAUUUGAGUUAAUUUUUGAAUUAGGUGGGAGACUUAGAUCAAGGUUCAUUUUUUUGUGUACAGAUAGGCAACUGUGUUAGCACUAGUUGUUGAAAAGGCUAUCUUUCUUUCAUUGAAACGCUUUUGUACCUUUGGCAAAAACAAUCAGCUGGGGAUAUAUUUGUGGUGGAUCUGUUUCUGGGUUUUCUGUUCUGUUCCACUGAUGCAUGUGUCUGUGCCUCCACCAAUAACACACAGUCCUUAAUUACUGCAAUUAUUUAGUAAGUCUUGAAUUAGGGUAGACUGAUUCUUCCCACUUUCCUUUGAAAUUAUUUUGGCUCUUUUGCAUUUCCAUAUACAUUUUACAAUAAUAUUGUCUGUAUCUGCCAAAAAAAAAACUGGCAGGGGUUUUGCUAGGAGUUGCAUUAAACCUGUAUGUCAAUUUGAGGAGAAUUGACUUUUUUUUUAAUCUUUCCAAUGUUUACACCUUUAUUUCCUUUUUUUCUUUUUUUUAUUAUACUUUAAGUUCUAGGGUACAUGUGCACAACCUGCAGGUUUGUUACACAUGUAUACAUGUGCCAUGUUGGUGUGCUGCACCCAUUAACUUGUUAUUUACAUUAGCUGUAUCUCCUAAUGCUAUCCUUCCCCCUUCCCACCACCCCACGACAGGCCCCAGUGUGUGAUGUUCCCCUUCCUGUUAUUUCUCCACAUCCUCUCCAGCACCUGUUGUUUCGAUUUUUUAAUGAUCAGCUCUUUUUUGGUUCCAUAUGAACUUUAAAGUGGUUUUUUCCAGAGAAUUGACAUCUUUAUUGUGUUGAUUUUUCCAGUCCGUAAACAUUGGAGAAAACAUUCAGUCUUUCAUUGUCAAAUAUAAUGUUAGCUGCAGAUUUUUUAAAUACAUGUUCUUUAUCAAGUUGAGAAAGUACCCUUCUAUUCCUAUGUUUCUGAGAGCUUUAAUCAUCAAUGGAUAUUACCUUCUGUCAAAUGCUUUUUCUAAUUUAGUUAAUACGCAUACUUUUGUGAUUUUUUUUAGCCUGUUAAUGUGGUGGAUUACAUUGAUUGAUUUUCAAAUAUUAAAUCACCCUUGCAUUCCUGGAAUAAACACCACUUGGUCAUGGCAUACAAUUAUUUCUGUAUGUUGCUGAAUUCUUUGUACUAUUAUUUUGUUGUAGAUUUUUGUUUUUGUAUUUAUGAUGAAUAUAGAUCUGGAGUUUUCUUUUCCUCCAAUUAUUUUUACCUUUAAUUAAUAGGUAAGGCUCUCAGAACAAUUGUAUUAUGUCAGUUAAAUUUUAUCACUUUCAAAUCUGACACAUUUUGAAAAACAUCCUGGCCAGGUGCGGUGGCUCACGCCUAUAAUCC